AGCGUAUAUUAAAGUUGUUGCAGUUAAAAAGCUCGUAGUUGAAUUUCGGGGUCAGUAGGUCGGUCGUGCCACUGGUAUGAACUGGUUUUACUGAUUCCUCCCUCUUGAAGAACUGUAAUGCCAUUAAUUUGGUGUUGCAGGGAAUCAGGACUGUUACUUUGAAAAAAUUAGAGUGUUUAAAGCAGGCUUAGGCUUGAAUACAUUAGCAUGGAAUAAUGAAAUAGGACGUUUGAACCUAUUUUGUUGGUUUCUAGGAUCGACGUAAUGAUUAAUAGGGAUAGUUGGGGGCAUUAGUAUUCAAUUGUCAGAGGUGAAAUUCUUGGAUUUAUUGAAGACUAACUACUGCGAAAGCAUUUGCCAAGGAUGUUUUCAUUAAUCAAGAACGAAAGUUAGGGGAUCGAAGACGAUCAGAUACCGUCGUAGUCUUAACCAUAAACUAUGCCGACUAGGGAUCGGAUGAUGUUAAUUUUUUAAUGACUCAUUC
rnacentral:rRNA from 1 species